AGGAGCUGGUAAAACACACUAGUGACCUAUCUGAAAAGGCAAAUCUGAAACUGGCAUUGGAUGCUAUGAAGGACUUGGCGCAGUAUGUAAAUGAAGUGAAGAGAGAUAAUGAAACUCUUCGUGAAAUUAAACAGUUCCAGUCCUCAAUAGAGAAUUUGAACCAAUCACUGUUACUCUAUGGAAGACCACAGGGUGAUGGCGAAAUAAGAAUAACAACCCUGGACAAACGGGCGAGGCAAGAUAGG